UACAGGGGGGGCAAGCGUUGUUCGGAAUUACUGGGCGUAAAGGGCUCGUAGGUGGCCAACUAAGUCAGACGUGAAAUCCCUCAGCUUAACUGGGGAACUGCGUCUGAUACUGGAUGGCUUGAGUUUGGGAGAGGGAUGCGGAAUUCCAGGUGUAGUGGUGAAAUUCGUAGAUAUUGGGAAGAACACCGGUGGCGAAGGCGGCUCUCUGGACCGAGACUGACGCUGAGGCGCGAAAGCGUGGGGAGCAAACAGG
rnacentral:rRNA from 1 species